rnacentral:rRNA from 1 species
AGAGUUUGAUCAUGGCUCAGAACGAACGCUGGCGGCAGGCCUAACACAUGCAAGUCGAACGCCCCGCAAGGGGAGUGGCAGACGGGUGAGUAACACGUGGGAACGUACCCUUUGGUUCGGAACAACUCCGGGAAACUGGAGCUAAUACCGAAUAAGCCCUACGGGGGAAAGAUUUAUCGCCGAAGGAUCGGCCCGCGUCGGAUUAGCUAGUUGGUGGGGUAAAAGCCUACCAAGGCGACGAUCCGUAGCUGGUCUGAGAGGAUGACCAGCCACACUGGGACUGAGACACGGCCCAGACUCCUACGGGAGGCAGCAGUGGGGAAUAUUGGACAAUGGGCGCAAGCCUGAUCCAGCCAUGCCGCGUGAGUGAUGAAGGCCUUAGGGUUGUAAAGCUCUUUCGCCAGGGACGAUAAUGACGGUACCUGGAUAAGAAGCCCCGGCUAACUUCGUGCCAGCAGCCGCGGUAAUACGAAGGGGGCUAGCGUUGUUCGGAAUUACUGGGCGUAAAGCGCAUGCAGGCGGAUCGCUAAGUCAGGGGUGAAAGCCCGAGGCUCAACCUCGGAACUGCCUUUGAUACUGGCGAUCUUGAGUCCGGGAGAGGUGAGUGGAACUCCGAGUGUAGAGGUGAAAUUCGUAGAUAUUCGGAAGAACACCAGUGGCGAAGGCGGCUCACUGGCCCGGUACUGACGCUGAGAUGCGAAAGCGUGGGGAGCAAACAGGAUUAGAUACCCUAGUAGUCC